UGUCUUAUAGUCAAUUGAUGAUAUUAAAUUGCAAAUUUAAAGUAAUAAAAACAAAAUUAUUAAGACUU
rnacentral:tRNA from 1 species